UGCAAGCUCGAACGAGAAAGGGGAGCAUACCCUGAGUACAGUGGCGUACGGGUUGAGUAACACGUGGAUAAUCUGCCCUUUAGUGGGGAAUAACCAUGGGAAACCGUGGCUAAUACCGCAUAAGCUCGAGAGAGGAAAGCAGCAAUGCGCUGAAGGAGGAGUCCGCGGCCGAUUAGCUAGUUGGUAGGGUAAAAGCCUACCAAGGCAGAGAUCGGUAGCCGGCCUGAGAGGGCACACGGCCACACUGGCACUGAAACACGGGCCAGACUCCUACGGGAGGCAGCAGUGGGGAAUCUUGCACAAUGGGGGAAACCCUGAUGCAGCGACGCCGCGUGAGCGAUGAAGCCCUUCGGGGUGUAAAGCUCUUUCGUCAGGGAAGAUGAUGACGGUACCUGGAGAAGCAGCUGCGGCUAACUACGUGCCAGCAGCCGCGGUAAUACGUAGGCAGCAAGCGUUGUUCGGAGUUACUGGGCGUAAAGGGUGUGUAGGCGGUUGUUUAAGUUUGGUGUGAAAUCUCCCGGCUCAACUGGGAGGAUGCGCCGAAUACUGAAUGACUAGAGUGCGGGAGAGGAAAGUGGAAUUCCUGGUGUAGCGGUGAAAUGCGUAGAUAUCAGGAGGAACACCGGUGGGUGUAGACGGCUUUCUGGACCGUAACUGACGCUGAGACACGAAAGCGUGGGUAGCAAACAGGAUUAGAUACCCUGGUAGUCCACGCCCUAAACGAUGCAUAUUUGGUGUGGGCAGUUCAUUCUGUCCGUGCCGGAGCUAACGCGUUAAAUAUGCCGCCUGGGGAGUACAGUCGCAAGGCUGAAACUCAAAGGAAUUGACGGGGGCCCGCACAAGCGGUGGAGCAUGUGGUUC
rnacentral:rRNA from 1 species